UACGUAGGGUGCAAGCGUUAUCCGGAAUGAUUGGGCGUAAAGCGUCCGCAGGUGGCUAUGUAAGUCUGCUGUUAAAGAGUCUGGCUCAACCAGAUAAAGGCAGUGGAAACUACAUGGCUAGAGUGCGUUCGGGGCAGAGGGAAUUCCUGGUGUAGCGGUGAAAUGCGUAGAGAUCAGGAAGAACACCGGUGGCGAAAGCGCUCUGCUAGGCCGCAACUGACACUGAGGGACGAAAGCUAGGGGAGCGAAUGGG
rnacentral:rRNA from 1 species